rnacentral:rRNA from 1 species
GACGAACGCUGGCGGCGUGCUUAACACAUGCAAGUCGAACGGUGAAGGGACUGGUUUUGCUGGUCCUGGAUGAGUGGCGAACGGGUGAGUAACACGUGAGUAACCUGCCCCCUUCUUCUGGAUAACCGCAUGAAAGUGUGGCUAAUACGGGAUAUUCUGGGUCUGUCGCAUGGUGGGCCUGGGAAAGAUUGCGCCUUUUUUGGUGUUUUUGGUGGGGGAUGGGCUCGCGGCCUAUCAGCUUGUUGGUGGGGUGAUGGCCUACCAAGGCGGUGACGGGUAGCCGGCCUGAGAGGGUGGACGGUCACACUGGGACUGAGACACGGCCCAGACUCCUACGGGAGGCAGCAGUGGGGAAUAUGGCACAAUGGGCGCAAGCCUGAUGCAGCGACGCCGCGUGAGGGAUGGAGGCCUUCGGGUUGUGAACCUCUUUCGCCAGUGAAGCAGGCCUGCCUCUUUUUGUGGGUGGGUUGACGGUAGCUGGAUAAGAAGCGCCGGCUAACUACGUG